rnacentral:rRNA from 1 species
GACAUAGGUGCCGAGCGUUAGGCGGAAUCACUGGGCUUAAAGCGUGUGUAGGCGGACCGUUAAGUACCUUGUGAAAUCCCACGGCUCAACCGUGGAACGGCUGGGUAGACUGGCGGUCUUGAGCGGCCUAGGGGCAGAUGGAACAGACGGUGGAGCGGUGAAAUGCGUAGAUAUCGUCUGGAACGCCAAAGGUGAAGACAGUCUGCUGGGGGCCUGCUGACGCUGAGACACGAAAGCCAGGGGAGCGAACGGG